CACAUGACUCUCGGCAACGGAUAUCUCGGCUCUCGCAUCGAUGAAGAACGUAGCAAAAUGCGAUACCUGGUGUGAAUUGCAGAAUCCCGUGAACCAUCGAGUUUUUGAACGCAAGUUGCGCCCGAGGCCUUGYGGUCGAGGGCACGUCUGCCUGGGCGUCACGC
rnacentral:rRNA from 1 species